rnacentral:rRNA from 1 species
UCGGCCAUACCAUACUGGAUAUACCGAUUCUCGUUAGAUCACCGAAGUCAAGCAUCAUUGGGCGCGGUCAGUACUUGGCUGGGUGACCACCUGGGAACACCGCGUGCCGUU